AUUACAGAGUUGCAAAACUCCCUAAACCAUUGUGAACGUUACCUAAACCGUUGCUUCGGCGGGCGGCCCCGGGGUCAUCCCCGGGCGCCCCUGGGCCCCAUCGCGGGCGCCCGCCGGAGGUCACCAAACUCUUGAUAAUUUAUGGCCUCUCUGAGUCUUCUGUACUGAAUAAGUCAAAACUUUCAACAACGGAUCUCUUGGUUCUGGCAUCGAUGAAGAACGCAGCGAAAUGCGAUAAGUAAUGUGAAUUGCAGAAUUCAGUGAAUCAUCGAAUCUUUGAACGCACAUUGCGCCCGCCAGUAUUCUGGCGGGCAUGCCUGUUCGAGCGUCAUUUCAACCAUCAAGCCCCCGGCUUGUGUUGGGGACCUGCGGCUGCCGCAGGCCCUGAAAAGCAGUGGCGGGCUCGCUGUCACACCGAGCGUAGUAGCAUACAUCUCGCUCUGGGCGUGCUGCGGGUUCCGGCCGUUAAACCACCUUCAUAACCCAAGGUUGACCUCGGAUCAGGUAGGAAGACCCGCUGAACUUAAGCAUAUCAAUAAGCGGAGGAAAAGAAACCAACAGGGAUUGCCCUAGUAACGGCGAGUGAAGCGGCAACAGCUCAAAUUUGAAAUCUGGCUUCGGCCCGAGUUGUAAUUUGCAGAGGAAGCUUUAGGCGCGGCACCUUCUGAGUCCCCUGGAACGGGGCGCCAUAGAGGGUGAGAGCCCCGUAUAGUUGGAUGCCUAGCCUGUGUAAAGCUCCUUCGACGAGUCGAGUAGUUUGGGAAUGCUGCUCAAAAUGGGAGGUAAAUUUCUUCUAAAGCUAAAUACCGGCCAGAGACCGAUAGCGCACAAGUAGAGUGAUCGAAAGAUGAAAAGCACUUUGAAAAGAGGGUUAAAUAGCACGUGAAAUUGUUGAAAGGGAAGCGCUUGUGACCAGACUUGCGCCGGGCGGAUCAUCCGGU
rnacentral:rRNA from 1 species